rnacentral:lncRNA from 1 species
AGAAGAGGCACACCACGACGUGCCAGGCUUCGAGCUGGGAGAAGAAAAGUCUACAGGACAGAGAAAUUCUCCAAGCAGUAGGACUUCCCCAAGCACUGUCCUCCAAGAAACCAGCCUUGCAGAAAUGACAUCCCAGAGGAUUGCCAACCAGCUGCAYGGAACCAUUGCCUUGGUGAGACCUGGCUCGAGACCGUGCCUCCUGGAAAAAAGUCCUCCAGGGGCUGCACCGUCCCCAUCGGCAAG